GCUUACGGCCAUACCUCUCUGGCUCCGCCUGAUCUCGUCUGAUCUCUCAAAGAAAAACAGAGUAGGGCUCCGUAGUACUUUGGAUUGAAGACAGCCUGGGAAUCCCA
rnacentral:rRNA from 1 species